CUCUCCUUCAUUCCUACCCUGCAUGCAUGCACACUCUCUAACACACACACACACACAUACGCAAAGAUACACACACACACACGAUGACUGAUGCCUUCUCUCCCUCCUUCUCUUGCAUUCUCCGUUUUCUCACCUCUCUCUGCACCACUGAGACUUUUUGUGUGUUUGUCCUCCCCGUAUAGCGCACGGUGGAACCGGUUUCUGCACAGCUCCAGCCCCAGCGUUGUGAGGAAAAAGUACUGAUACUGUACUUUUCCUCACGCCGUUGAUAUCCUUUGUCCACAAGGCAUGUUUUCCCCUUCAAAGUCCUGCGCGUGGAGGGGUUGAAGAAAAGAGAAAUGGUGCCCGAGGAAGAGGAGAUGAGGCAACAGCGGAUAAAAAUGUGACGAGACUGGAGUGAAAUAGAGAUGCAAGGCUGCAAGUCAAAAGGGAAAGCACUAACUCCAGAGUGAGGAAGAGGGGGACGGAGAGGAGGAAUCAAGUUGGAAUCGGGAAAAGAAACGCGGGAAAAGUUGGCCUCCGCUUCAUGUCUGAGGAACACCUGGCACACUUUGACAAGGCGGUGAUCUCAAGCUCUGUGACGGCAGCCCUGCGGAGACAAAAGACCGUUGGAGAGAGAGAGAGAGGAAACACAGACUCACACUGACUGGGAAAGAAAAGAAAAGAAGAGGCUGACUGUAAGGUGGAUUAUGUGCCCUCCUUGUCCUGAUCUCGUUUCAUCUUAACUGUGUGCGCAACUGCUGCAUUGCUGAGAUUAUUUGAGCUUUGCUGUGAAAAAUGUGACUUUGCUUCUUCUCAUUGCUGCACUGCGAGGCGGAAGAUUCGUGUGGAUGGAAUGAAGACAAAUAUGUCACGAUUAUGUUUUAAUUGAUCUGAUCAGUUUUGCUUGUGAUCUGCAAUAAACCAGGAGACCGGUCGGUGCCGCAGAAUCCAAAUGUCAGAUGAGGUCAUGUCUUUGUCUCGGUGCAGCAACUCUGCGGUUCUUUCUUUUUGAUACGUUUCAGCUCCGCGUUGCUUUUUUGUACUUUAAAUUGCUCCGUGUUUAAACCCGCCCUGUGUAUUUUUCAUUUCUCAGUAUGCCCCUCUGUCCCUGAGACCCUUAACCUGUGAGGUCAAAGCAGGUCACAGGUGAGGUCCUCGGGAACAGGGCUGCAUUCAGUUUCAACGUCCUACAAAAAUAGGGGCAUUUUUGUCGCAAAAAUAUUACAUGAUGAUAAUUUGUUUCACCAGAAAGUCGUCUGUUUUAAUGUUUCCUUUGGUAUUCUAUGCUUAAAACACAAGAAAACCCUCAGAUGAUACAGUUUUCUUCUGGCUCUGAUGUAUCUUAAUCUCCAGCUGUGUGUUUCUUCAGCGUGUUGACAGUUUCAGUAUGUUUACCUGUCAUGUCAUGAUCAAGAAGAAGAAGAAGAAGAUCCCUCCUGCAGCACAGACACUCUCAGGGGGCCGACUCUAUUGGCUGGCUUUGUGUUAAAGCCCUCAAGGGGGGGCCAAUAGGAAGACAGCCGAGGGUCGUGACCCCGUCAUUUAUGUCACCUUCAAGAAUCAGUGGAGUUACUGGCACAUCUUGUGCAUGUUUUGUACUUUGUACUGGAAAAGUUGCUUUGUUUUUUACCUCAAUAUGUUAAUAAA